rnacentral:tRNA from 1 species
GCCUGGCUGGCUCAGUCGGUAGAGCAUGCAACUCUUGAUUUCAGGGCUGUGGGUUCGAGCCCCACAACGGGUA